GACGAACGCUGGCGGCGUGCCUAAUACAUGCAAGUCGAACGCAGUGGGGACGGGUGAGUAACACGUGGGUAACCUCCCAUCAGAGGGGAUAACCCUUGGAAACAGUUGCUAAACCGAUACUGAUGUAUGGACCCGCAGUGCCUUAGCUAGUUGGUGAGGUAACGGCUCACCAAGGCAACGAUGCAUAGCCGACCUGAGAGUGUGAAAGGCCAUGAUGGGACUGAGACACGGACCAGACUCCUACGGGAGGCAGCAGUAGGGAAUCUUGGGCAAUGGACGAAAGUCUGACCGAGCAAAGCCGCGUGAGUGAAGAAGGUUUUCGGAUCGUAAAACUCUGUUGUUAGAGAAGCGGUAUCUAACCAGAAAGCCACGGCUAACUACGUGCCAGCAGCCGCGGUAAGUC
rnacentral:rRNA from 1 species